rnacentral:rRNA from 1 species
GGAGGAAAAGAAACCAACAGGGAUGCCCCUAGUAAUGGCGAAUGAAGCGGGCAGAGCUCACGCCGGAAAUCCGGAGGCCAUCCGUCGCCUCCUGAAUUGUAGUCUGGAGAGGUGCCAUCGGCCCCACUCGGUGCCAAAAUCCCUUGGAAUGGGGUAUCAGAGAAGGUGAGAAUCCUGUCACGCGCCAGAGUGGGGUCGUACGAUGUGCUCUCGUAGAGUCGGGCUGCUUGGGAGUGCAGCCUGAAGCGGGUGGUAAAUUCCAUCUAAAGCUAAAUAUUGGCGGGAGACCGAUAGCGAACAAGUACCGUGAGGGAAAGAUGCAAAGAACUUUGAAAAGAGAGUUAAAGAGUGCUUGAAAUUGGCAGGAGGAAACCCGGUUGCGCGUGGCAUUUGACGCCGUCGACUCAGCCGUGCGGGGAGGCCUGUAGGGGACCGAAAGGCCCUGUGGUCAGUCCGUGCGGUGCACUUCGGCGGCGUCGGUCAGCCGCGUUUCUGCGCGGCGAAGACGGUUGCGGGUAGGGCUUCGGCGUCACCCGUGAUGAUGCGUCGCGCGGGAUCUCGGCUGAUGCGCACGGGCGCAACCGACCCGUCUAGAAACACGGACCAAGGAGUCUGA